rnacentral:rRNA from 1 species
UACGUAGGGGGCAAGCGUUGUCCGGAAUCAUUGGGCGUAAAGCGCGUGUAGGCGGCUGGGUAAGUCCGCUCUGAAAGCCCGGGGCUCAACUCCGGAUCUGCGGUGGGUACGGGCAGACUAGAGUGUGGUAGGGGAGAUCGGAAUUCCUGGUGUAGCGGUGAAAUGCGCAGGAUAUCAGGAGGAACACCGGUGGCGAAGGCGGCUUCCUGGUCUGUAACUGACGGCUGAGGCGCGAAAGCGUGGGGAGCAACAGG